CACGUAGGGUGCGAGCGUUGUCCGGAAUUAUUGGGCGUAAAGAGCUCGUAGGCGGUUUGUCGCGUCGGAUGUGAAAACCUGUGGCUCAACCACGGGCCUGCAUUCGAUACGGGCAAACUAGAGUGUGGUAGGGGAGACUGGAAUUCCUGGUGUAGCGGUGAAAUGCGCAGAUAUCAGGAGGAACACCGGUGGCGAAGGCGGGUCUCGGGGCCAUUACUGACGCUGAGGAGCGAAAGCGUGGGGAGCGAACAGG
rnacentral:misc_RNA from 1 species